CUUUUUCCUCAUUAAACUCUGUGUAAUCCCCACCUCUCUCAUGAAUAUAGAGAUAUAUGUGCAGUCGGUAGCUGUGUUUAGGAAACAGCGGCAUCUUGUGGCCAAACAGCAGAAUGUCAGUCCAGAACAUUUAAUUUAAU